rnacentral:rRNA from 1 species
GACGAACGCUGGCGGCGUGCUUAACACAUGCAAGUCGAACGGAAAGGCCCUGCUUUUGUGGGGUGCUCGAGUGGCGAACGGGUGAGUAACACGUGAGUAACCUGCCCUUGACUUUGGGAUAACUUCAGGAAACUGGGGCUAAUACCGGAUAGGAGCUCCUGCUGCAUGGUGGGGGUUGGAAAGUUUCGGCGGUUGGGGAUGGACUCGCGGCUUAUCAGCUUGUUGGUGGGGUAGUGGCUUACCAAGGCUUUGACGGGUAGCCGGCCUGAGAGGGUGACCGGCCACAUUGGGACUGAGAUACGGCCCAGACUCCUACGGGAGGUAGCAGUGGGGAAUAUUGCACAAUGGGCGGAAGCCUGAUGCAGCAACGCCGCGUGCGGGAUGACGGCCUUCGGGUUGUAAACCGCUUUCGCCUGUGACGAAGCGUGAGUGACGGUAAUGGGUAAAGAGGCACCGGCUAACUACGUG